GACGAACGUUGGCGGCGUGCUUAAUACAUGCAAGUCAACUGAAGCACCGGUAGUAAUACUGGUGUGGAGGUGGCGCACGGGUGAGUAACACGUAGGUAAUCUGCCUUCAGGUCUGACAUAACCCCGAGAAAUCGGGGCUAAUAGCAGAUGAUGCAGCGGCUUGACAUCAAAGACAGUUGUUAAAGCUUCGGCGCCUGAAGAUGAGCCUGCGUCUGAUUAGCUAGUUGGCGGAGUAAUAGCCCACCAAGGCGACGAUCAGUAGCUGGUCUGAGAGGAUGAUCAGCCACACUGGAACUGAGACACGGUCCAGACUCCUACGGGAGGCAGCAGUAAGGAAUAUUGCUCAAUGGGAGAAAUCCUGAAGCAGCAACGCCGCGUGAGGGAUGAAGGGCUUUUGCUCGUAAACCUCUGUAGUGAGGGAAAAAUUUCCAAUUCUAUGGAAUAUGAUGGUACCU
rnacentral:rRNA from 1 species